GCCCGGGGGGCGCGGGCAGGAAAGGGCGCUGAGCUGGGCCGUGCUCAACGGGGAGCCGCUGUGCAGCAGGCCGGUCGUCACAGAAUCACCUAGGUUGGGAAAGACCUCCGAGAGUAUCGCGUCCAACCUAGGAGCGAUCACUACCGUGUAACUAGACCAGGGCACUGAGUGCUAUGUCCAGGCUUUCCUUAAACACCUCCGAGGACGGUGACUCCACCACCUUCCCGGGAGACCAUUUCAGUGCCCGGUCGCUCUUUCUGUUAAGAAACUCCACCCUGCACCUCCCCAGGCGCAGUUUGACGUCGUUUUCCUUUAUCCUGCAGCAGGUUGCCGGGGAGAGGCGGCCGGCCCCCACAGGGAUACAGCCCCGGUCAGGGAAUUGUAGAGGGCAAGGUCGCCCCUGAGCCUCCCUCUUUUCUCCCUAAGCACCCCCAGCUCCCGUAGCUGCUCUCACAGGACUUCUGCUCCAGACCCUUCACCAGCUUCAUUGCCUUGCGUUGGACACACUCCAGCAUCUCCAUGAAUUGAGGGGCCCAGAACUGGACACAGGACUCGAUGUGUGGCCUCACCACUGCAGGGGAAGAAUCUCUUCCCUGGUCCUGCUGGUCACACUAUUAAUGAUAAGGCACACUCGAGAGAGACACUGAGUAUUUUUGUCAGAGUUGCACUCGGUCCUCGGCAGUGUUCCACAAAUCAAGCACAGCAACUACCUUUUUACUUUGUAUUAUAGUAAACAGAGGCGUUAAUGUGUGAAUGCAUGCUGCAGUACCACAUGAGCACAGGUUUUGGGGCAUAGCAUGCCUUGAGAUAACACCAUUGUAUAACUAGUUCUUGCUUCAUUGUUGCUCGUGAAUCAAGUUCUUGAAAAAUCAUUCAAUAUUGACUGAAAGCCAGAGAAACAAAAGGUUUGUGCGCUGGAGCUCCGAGGAAGCUGUGAAAAAGCUCACAAAAUUGAAGAUGGGGAAUUGUUUACCUUGCAAGAGAGAUGCAUGGGAGGAUGACAUGAAUAAAAUUACAGUUACAAAUGGAAGUUCUGCUGUUUGUGUACCACAGGAGCAUGAGAACAUUCCAUGGCAAAAAAAAAGCCAACAAAACAACAUCAUAGCAUAAAGUCUUUCCUUUAAAGGAAGAAACUUGGUUUUGUCUUAGACUUUUGGUUCUUCACUUGCUUUAGUCUCUAGACUUUUGCCAAGACUGCUUUGCUUAUCAGGCUUGCUGACACAGUGGAUAAUCAGUCUGUAAAACUUGCUGCCAUAGGAAGUUCUUGGGGCAAAAUGAGGCCACUCGCCCUAGAAGGGUUCAAAGAAAGAUAGGACAUUUUGGAAAACCAUAAAACUUUGUACAGUUAACAUAAACAAAAUGUCCUGGAAGGAAAAGACUUCCUGCUUUGUACUUUAACCUGAGGUCUCACUUUUAGACACCGAGACAAACAAUUUAUAGAGACUGGCAGUCGGACAUCUGGUCUGUUAGGGACGAGCAUGGUAUUGGAGGCAGCUAAGGAAAAUAGGAUCCUGUAGUUUAUUCCAAUUUUUUACAGACUUUUAAGGUUACUGUUUUUUUACGUGCAAUUCCUUAUCAUAGCUUGUUCCUGGAAUAGCACUAAAAUUAUAUUUCAAGAUGGGUAGAUCUCUGGGAGAGAAUGAAGGAAGCAGAGUACCUUGAACUUAUUCUGCUUUUUUUGUUGUUAUUAUUGUUGUGAUUAUUGUAUUUAUUUUCUAUUUGAGGAUAAAAUAAAUAAAGAAACAAGACCAUAAUCAGUUGCUUAAUGAACAAAACCUUCAUAUGCUGAUCAUUAUUUCAGCACAGAUGUCUGUAACUCAAAUUCUGUCAAUCUGCCCAUGCAACUCUGUUCUUGAAUUGCUGAGAACAACUGUGUGGGUGGAUGUAGAACAUAAAAUUGCCAUGUGCACUUAUGUUUUGUUUAUGCAGUACUCAUUUUUAAGAGUACUAGAUUGGAUUUGCUUAAUAUUUGCUUUGUGUGUGUGUAUACAUAAUAUUUACAAACCCCCAAACUAGGAGAUGAUGACCAAGAUAAACUCUAUUAAUGCAAGAUGCUGAUAUUGUGAACAUGUUUCAUUUGAUUUAUCAACUGAAAGAAAUAAAUUAAAUCUAUACACAGACUAAGGUGGUAGUUACCUCUAAAACUUGUACCUCAAUUUAUUGCUGCUUUAUCACCCAUAUGUACUCCAUACAGCAGAGAUGACUUAGAAAUAGGCUUCUACUGACAACUAAGAGAUUACUCUUUCAUAGAUCUGUCAUUACUGAAAAUUAAUAAAAAUUGUAGAGUAUUUUAAAAUAGUAAUGGACCUAAAAUAUUAACUGAAAUUUAACCCAAGUUUUUACUUUCUCAUAACAGAAUUCUUGUUUUUUUUUUUUAAAGAAGAUGGGAUUAGGGAGGCAGCCAUUUAUAUCUUCUCUAUAAAUCUAGAAAUAAUUCUGUAUUUCACUUCAGUUUCCUGGGCACUUUCUUUUGAGAUAAGGUUUCUACAUGUGAAAUACUUCAUAGCAAUAGUUACUAGCAAUUUUGGCAAUAAUGACAUUGUGUUCACUGUUGUAUGAUGGGGGGUCAGGGGUAAUUUUUAAGGUGUCGAAUCUUAUCUGGGGGUAUCUACCUCUUGUUACAUACAUAUAGUAUUUUUUUCAGAUUCCCAUGCAGAACUUGUCUGAGAAAGUAAAAUAAGAAAUUGAAAACUUUAUGAUGUCAUUAUAAUAAAGCCUAAAGAAUGAAUUACACUU